rnacentral:tRNA from 1 species
GCCCCUGUAGCUCAGAUGGUAGAGCACUUGACUUUUAAUCAAGGUGUCCGGAGUUCGAGUCUCCGCAGGAGCACCA